rnacentral:rRNA from 1 species
UGCGUAGGGGGCAAGCGUUGUCCGGAUUUAUUGGGCGUAAAGCGCGUGUAGGCGGUUUGGUAGGUCCGCUGUGAAAACUCGAGGCUCAACCUCGAGACGCCGGUGGAAACCAUCAGACUAGAGUCCGGAAGAGGAGAGUGGAAUUCCUGGUGUAGCGGUGAAAUGCGCAGAUAUCAGGAAGAACACCCGUGGCUAAGGCGGCUCUCUAGUACGGUACUGACGCUGAGACGCGAAAGCGUGGGGAGCGAACAGG